rnacentral:lncRNA from 7 species
CACACUGCUGACAGAGCUGGCUGGGAAGAGCACGCUGCUGGACUAGCAAAUGAGCGGAGCCUCUGAAGACCUCAAUUCUCUUUCUGCUCAGUUCAUCUCCCUCAUCCUUAAGUAACCCCUCUGGGAAGUCAGAACAAGCAUCCAUUGCAGCAUAGGACCUUCAUUUUAACAAGCUUCUUGAAGACUCAUCUGUUGGUCUGGCUACAUUGUCCAGUCAGAGGAUUCCUUCCAAUCAGGAACUGGUGGUGGAGAGAAAAGGAAGUCUAAAUUCAGCAGCAAGGUCUGAGCACCAGGAAAGGAAUUUCAGACUCACAGUGUCUGCGUCAUAAAACAGACAUAACAAAAUCAUUUCAAGCAUGUUUGAAGAUGGGUGUCCACGCUUGAAGAUUUUUGAGAAAAUGGCAAUGAUAAGGGAAGGCUAUACAGAAAAACAUUAAACGAGGCAGGGAGCUGAACAGUGAUGCAGUUCCUUCCAGAGCCAAAGGAGUGGAACUGCGUAAACAGUGGGACUGGAAUUCAGAAUACUUUCCAAACAGAUGUAACUGGCAUCUUCAUAACUGCUCAAUUAGUGGCACUUGAUUGGAUAAGCAAGUUCAUCUCCGGCCUCCUGAAUCCCUCCAUGACUUGUAAAUCAGCUCAGUGACCUGUGGACAGUCAGAAGAAAUAAAGUCCUUCCACAGAGGAAUCUUCCUUGCAAUUUGCCAGCUCAUUUGAACUUUAGAAUCCUCUUAUUUGAAUUCAACAGGACAGUUCUUCAGUUGGACACACUUGGCUGAUCUGCAUCAUCAGUGAGAAAACCACCAUCUGCAACCACCUCUUGGCUGCUGCUCCCACUUAUGAACGUUCAGCUCUUUGAGGCUGUGAUUCUCAAUUUAUCUCAUUUUAUUUACUUACAUUUGAAGGCUUUUGUUACAAAGAACAAAACGUGUCUAACAGUUUGAUACUUCUUCCAUCCUUUCCUUGGGGCUGCAAUUAAACUUUCUUUAGGUAGUCUUUGGUGUGUGGGGUACUAUGAGCUGCUGGUUUUCGUAAGGCCCACAGCUGCUCUAUCUGCAGUACUCAGUAAUACUUCUGAACAGAUUAGAAAGACAUUGCUAACAUUGGGUAUGCUUGGGAGGAAUGAUUAUUUAGAUAGACAAAAUGAAAAUAGAGAAAAUAUUCUGCUUAGAGAAAGAUGCUGACUGCAAAGGACAACUAGCAUGUUUAUUAUGCAUCUGUCUUUUUCUUGUCCAUCACUUCCUUUUUGGGAAUACAGCACAGUAUUGGCUUCUUGUGAAUAAGCACCUGAUUCACAGCUUAGGACCUUGUAGAUUCCAUGUGAUUGUGUUAAGAUGUCCUUAUAUUUCUCAUGCUCAUACUAGAUUGCCUUGUGUGUCAGAACAUUUUCAUAACCCCUCCUCACAUACUGCUGUACAUACACAGAAAUAGAAAUGUGGGUUUCCUGGUCAGAUUUCUGAAGCAGAUUCUUUAAAAAAUGGCUGACUGAUCUGAUAAGAGACAAAAGGUCAGAAAUUCCCUUGUUCCCACCUUUAUCAGCUCUUGUCCCCAUCUUUGUCAUUCAUUCCCACAUUUUGGAAGGAAAAAAUAGUCAAGUAUCUUACUGAGUGGUUUCAGAGUUAUUCCCCCUCUUGCCUCACAGUUUGGAUGUUUCCCUUCCUCAUCACAUCGAUCUCCAUUUCACACCAGAUGAGCUUCAUUCACCAGUCCACAGUUGCCAACCAGAUUCCUCUGGAGAAGAGUAAGCCUAAAGCCACAAUCCAGUACCAAAGUGGUUCUCAAGCCAAACCAAAAGGAGGCUGUCUUCCAGUGCACAAUGCAUUAUUUUCAGAAAGUUUUACAUCUCAUGUGCAGUGGUGACUUUCAACCUAGAGGUCUAAACUCUACUUAAUUGAAAAUAAAUUCUCUGAAC